CCUACGGGAGGCAGCAGUGGGGAAUUUUGGACAAUGGGCGCAAGCCUGAUCCAGCAAUGCCGCGUGAGUGAAGAAGGCCUUCGGGUUGUAAAGCUCUUUUGUCAGGGAAGAAACGGCUGCGGCUAAUAUCCGCGGCUAAUGACGGUACCUGAAGAAUAAGCACCGGCUAACUACGUGCCAGCAGCCGCGGUAAUACGUAGGGUGCAAGCGUUAAUCGGAAUUACUGGGCGUAAAGCGUGCGCAGGCGGUUUUGUAAGUCUGACGUGAAAGCCCCGGGCUCAACCUGGGAAUUGCGUUGGAGACUGCAAGGCUUGAAUCUGGCAGAGGGGGGUAGAAUUCCACGUGUAGCAGUGAAAUGCGUAGAGAUGUGGAGGAACACCGAUGGCGAAGGCAGCCCCCUGGGUCAAGAUUGACGCUCAUGCACGAAAGCGUGGGGAGCAAACAGGAUUAGAUACCCUGGUAGUCCACGCCCUAAACGAUGUCUACUAGUUGUCGGGUUUUAAUUAACUUGGUAACGCAGCUAACGCGUGAAGUAGACCGCCUGGGGAGUACGGUCGCAAGAUUAAAACUCAAAGGAAUUGACGG
rnacentral:rRNA from 1 species